AUGCCACCACAUCUUGCCCAAGUUCCUCCUACUCCACCAAGGAUUCAAGCGCAAGACAAGGGCCCAGUUCCAGUUGUCGCUCCAGGUGCAGUGCUUCCUGUGCAGCAACAGGCACCUUCUGGCCCUGGUGCUCUUGCCAGCAACGACCCUCUGAACACCAAUGAAACGCCGGUUGAUCAAUCUGGGCCAUCAACAAGCAACGUGCCACCCCGCCCUACAUUACCGGAAGACGAGGAGACGCUCAUCCAAAAGGCGAUCCGGCUAACUCAGGGCCGACUCAGGAGGCGCAUGGCUGGAUCUGGAUCUGCACCUCCAUCGAGUUAG
rnacentral:rRNA from 1 species